GACAGAGGGGGCAAGCGUUGCUCGGAAUUACUGGGCGUAAAGGGCGCGUAGGCGGGAUGGCAAGUCGGUCGUGAAAUCCCUCGGCUCAACCGAGGAACGUCGAUCGAUACUGCUGUUCUUGAGGAUUGCAGAGGAGACUGGAAUUCCCGGUGUAGCGGUGAAAUGCGUAGAUAUCGAGAGGAACACCUGCGGCGAAGGCGGGUUGCUGGGCUGACACUGACGCUGAGGCGCGAAAGCUAGGGGAGCGAACGGG
rnacentral:rRNA from 1 species